rnacentral:lncRNA from 1 species
CUUCAACAUCUUUGAUUCCAUUUUGGGUGCCUCCAUGGGGCUGUGUGUCCCUGUACUGGAACCCAAGUGAACACUUGGCUCAGAGUCCAUUUGCUGCUCUCUAGAAAUCCAGCCUAAUUCUCUUGUGCAAAUAUAAUGUGUAUCUAGUAGGCAUUGCUUUUUCUUUCUGGAGACAAAACUCAGGAGGAUUGCCCCUUGAUGAACAGGACUAACCUGCUGAUUCUUUGAAGCAAGGAACUGGAAAUGGUCCUUUUAGGGAUUUAUGCUCUGGAUUCCAGAAAACACGCAAACAGGGCCAAUAAAUGCAUCUUUAUUUUUGUGUCCAUUUUGACCUGGUCAAGGAAGAUUCCAACAAAAAAUCCACAGUGCCGGAGCAAGAAGAUCUCAGGCUGUGUCCCUCUACAGGGAAGCGCUUUCUGUUGUCUGAAAGAAAGGAAAGUGCAUCCUUUUAGAGUGUUACUGUUUGAGAAAAGCAACGUUGAAGUUGAUGCUGAUUUUGGUAAUACAUUUGCAGAGCAUGCUUAUCAUCAGACUUGGAUGAUGUUGGGUUCUGUUUUUGCUUUGUUUUUUUUCCAAGACAGUGUCUUUGUUGCCCAGGCUGGAGUGCGGUGGCUCUUCCCACCUAGAUCUCUUGGGCUCAAGAGGUCUUUUUUUAUUUUUCUUUCUCAAGAGAGAGUUUGGUGGUGACACCCAGGCUGGAGUGCAGUGGUGCAAUAUCAGCUCACUGCAGCCUUCCCCUGCCCGGUUCAAGUGAUUCUUUCACCUCAGCCUCCCGAGUAGCUGGGAUUACAGGUGUGGGCUACCACGCCCGGCUAAUUUUUUGUAUUUUUAGUAGAGACGGGGUUUCACCAUGUUAGCCAGGAUGGUCUCAAUCUCCUGACCUCGUGAUCCACCCGCCUCAGCCUCCCAAAGUGCUGGGAUUACAGGCGUGAGCCACCGCGCCCGGCCGAUAGUUUUUAAUUUUUGAUAGAAAGGGCAUCUCUCUUGCCUAAGAUGGUCUCAACUCCUGAGCUCAAGGGAUCCUAAAGGUGUGAGCCGCCUCGUCCUGAUGACCCAUUUCAAACGUAGCUGACUUGGCCAGGCAUCGUGGGGCACACAGUCCCAGCUACUGCAGAAGCCAGGGUGGGAGGGUCCUUUGAUUUCCAGGCUAUACCAUGCGCUGAUCACACCUUUGAUCCCGAGUAGCUGGGAUUACAGGCGGCCACCGCCACGCCGGCUAAUUUUUAUUUAUUUACUUAUUUUUUCAGACGGUGUUUCCCUCGUGUUGCCCAGGCUGGAGUGCAAUGGCACGAUCUCGGAUCACUGCAACCUCCACCUCCCUGGUUCAAGCGAUUCUCCUGCCUCAGCCUCCCGAGCAGCUGGGAUUACAGGCAUGCAUCACCACGCCCGGCUAAUUCUUUGUAUUUUUAGUAGAGAUGGGAUUUCUCCAUGUUGGUCAGGCUGGUCUUGAACUCCCAACCUUAGGUGGUCCACCCACCUCGGCCUCCCAAAGUGCUGGGAUUACAGGCAUGAGCCAUUGUGCCCGGCCCAUUUCAUUUAUUUUUAUGUGUGCUGCUGAAGCAAGCACUUAUGUGUAGGAAUUGUUCUUCCUGUGAGCAUAUGUUGGCCAGCCUGGACCACAUACCAAGAUCCCAUCUCUUUAAAAACACAGAUUAUGUGGCACCUGGCACCUGGUCCCAGAGACUUCAUUUGGGUUGGUCAUUUGAAACACUAGCCUCCCAUCAAUUUAGUGUAAUCAAUCCAAAUCAUGUGUCCUUCAUUAAGAGACUAAGAACGCCUCCACAUCUAUCCAGUCUAUUUUGUAAUCCCCAACGGAUGUCAAUAUUAAUAAAAUUUCUUUUCUUUUUCCUA